rnacentral:tRNA from 2 species
AUUACUUUGGCAGAAUAGUGUAAUGAAUUUAGAAUUCAUAAAUGUAUUUAUUAUACAGGUAAUA